GAAGUCCAGCUCUGUGACACUGAAGGUCACCAGUUCCCUUGCUGGCUUCGACUGAAUGAUUCCCCUGUGAAGUCCCUUGUUUACUGUAUUUGUAAUUAGCCACCAAGAACUUGAGUAACCGGUUUCCGAGGAGAACAUAUAUCCUGAAUCAGUUCCUGGACAUUUGUUUGAGGUCUUGUAAGGGAAACUGAAGGGAAUUGUGUAUUGAACAGGAUGGCUUAGACCUGCUCAACUUCUGAGAAUUGAGGCAAAGUGGGCAAUCCAGAUGUAUCACUUGACUUUCUGACUACUGGAAGAAUUUCCCUUCAUUAUUGCACACCAGGGGUAUCCCACAGCUUUCUCCUCACCAACUCUUCAAAGAUCCAGUUGAUACAAAAUGCACAUGCUAAAAUAUGAUUCCCCAGUCCUGUCCAAGCUGAUGUGGUCUUCUCCAAGCCCCCAGUCCUGACCAAGCUGAAUCUCCUUUGUCACUCAUGGGGCAACAGGGACUUACCUGCCAGUGCAGGAGAAAGGAGAGAUCCUUUAGAACAGGAGCUAAGAUGCCAGGAGCUCACGCAAAAUGCUUGAAGAAAGGGGCUUAGCCAGAAACCGAACUGGGAGUUGAUGCCCAGUUUAGGAAGAGUUCAAAUCGAGGAGUCAGAAGCAGCAAAUUCUACAUCAGAUCCACAAAUUCUUAACUAGAAGAAUAAAAACAAGUCAAAUCAAGUUGGGCUCAAAAGGAAUAUAGGGGCAGAAGAGGUGAUGUGCAGAUGGGUGUGCCUGGCCAAAUGGUGGGGGUAGGCACAGGCAGCACACACCAUUGAUUUCUUUGCUUCCUUUUUUAAAGAUUUUAUUUUUAAGAGCAGUUUCAGGUUCAAAGCAAAGUUAGAAGUACCAAGAUUUUUUCCAUAUACCCCUGUCCCUACAUAUGCAUAGCCCCCUCAUUAUCAAAAUCCCCUAUCAGAGUGUAAUAAAUGACAAUGAACCUACGUUGGACGCAUCAUAAUCACGUAAAGUCCUGGUGUACAUUAGCUUUCACUCUUGGUGUUGUACAUUCUAUGAAUUCGGACAAAUGUGUAAUGGCAUGUGUCCACUGUUAUGGUAUCAUACAGAGCACUUUCACUGCCACAAAAAUUUUCUGCUCUCUGCCUAUAGUUGGGGAUCAGAAACCAAUACCCCAAAAUAUGGCAUUUUGACAUGCUGAACUGAAGAAGCUUUAAUGUCUCUCUGACCUUCCUUCUUCUGCCCCACCUUCUUUCCCAAAACCUAGGAUUAUCUUGUUCCCUUAUCUGCUUAAAGUCCGAACCUGCCAAAGAAGAAAACAAUGACCUCUGCACCCUUCCCUGAGUUUCCAUUAACUGAACCUAGAUUCCAGGAAGAAAGAUUGAAGUCUGUCAACACACCUGGACAGACUUUUAUCACAAACCAUUGUCCACUCUGCUAACCCAACAGAUUUUGUCCCAGACAACUGUAUUCUCUUCAAGCCCAUUGAAUUCUCCCUAGGAAUCAUGCAUUGCCCCUCAACAGAAUUCCUCUUGUCCCUACUCACAUAGUUUGCUUUGCCGGGAUCCUAAGAUUUCUUGGAAAACCUUAGGACCAGGAGGUAUUCUUGUGGACUCAUUCUGUUUUUCUGUAACCUCAAGAUGGUGUAUAAGCUUCUGCCCCCUAAUCGGGGGUUGGAGUAAUCACUGUGUCUCCUGUGUGAAAGUAAACACAUUUGUAUGCCCUUUUCCCAAUUAAUCUACCUUCUGUGAGUUGAUUUUUUAGCGAAACUUCAGAGGGCUCUUUGACUCCUACACUAUUUAUCCCUCCCCCUCCCUUCAGCCCCUAACAACCACUGAUCUUCUUACUGCCUCCACAGUUUUACCUUUUCCAGAAGGUCAUAUAGUUGAAAUAUUACAGUCCGUUACCUUUUCAGAUUAGCUUCUGUCACUUAGUAAUAUAUAUUUAAGAUUCCUCCAUGUCUUUUCAUGGCUUGAUAGUUCAUUUCUUUUCAGUAUUAAAUGAUAUUCCAUUGUUUGAUGUACCACAAUUUAUCCCUUACCUACUGAAGGAAUACCUGGUUGUUUCCAAGAUUUACCUGGCCACCUAUGGAAUACUGUAGUUUCCAAAACUGGCCAUAAGAUAUUUCCUACUAUUCUUGCAUAUUGCAGUUGCAUAAGAAUUGCGUCCUAAGAUUUUCCAGAAAUUUGGCACUUCUCCAUCAAGACAUGGAUUCUACUUCCUCUUCCCUUAAGUCUAGGCAGAUUUGUGACUGGUAACCACAGAGCAUGGUAGAAAUUACACGGAGUGAUUUCUGAGGUUAUAAAUGAUGAAGCUCAUCUACCUCACAGGAACAUAGGCAUUGAGUCCUGAGCCACCAAGCAAGUGUCCAACUACUCUGAAACUGCCAUGUGGUGAGGAAGCCCAAACUUGAUGUGAUUUCACCUCUUCUGCCCCUAUUCCUUUUGUGCCCAACUUGAUUUGACUUGCUUUUAUUUUUCUAGUUAAGUGAAAAGAUAGCAAGGGGAAGCACUGAAGCUGCAUCGUGAGCGAGAGAUGCCCAGCCACCAGGCAGCUGCUCCACCCACCUCACCCUCAGCCUACUUUCCUCCACCCUCAACCUUGUACUUUUGUUGCUCCAACCACUGUCUGGUUACAAUCAGAGGAGAGAUUCCAAGACAGUAGCACCCAGCUAAACCCUUCCUGAAUUCGCAACUCACAAAAGUUAUAAAAGACAAUAAAAUGACUGUUCUUUAAGUUAUAUGUUUUGAAGUGAAUUAUUAUUCAGCAACAAAUAACCCAUAACAUCAUCCUUUUUUCCUCACCUCCACUUCCCAGUUUUGCCUCCAGUCUGAGUACUUAAAGUUAGGCCUACAAAUCCAGUCCUUUCCCUUCAAAGGAAACUUAUUAUAAACUGAGGCAUCCAGAAAAAGGCUGUCAUGAGGUUUUAAUGUCAUUCUCUGCUCUCUUCAUU
rnacentral:lncRNA from 10 species